rnacentral:sRNA from 1 species
CCUACUGUUUAAACUUUAAGAUGAUCCCUAACUGGCUUAAAGUCCUCAACCCACAGCGGAGGAAAACGUUGCAAAAAAAAAAAAAACAAGGUCAUGCUGCAUUUUUUUGGUAAGCACAGGAAUCAACAUAGAGAUGUUAUAUAACUUCUAUUUAUAUCCUCCUUGCUCACUAUCUGCAGGCAGACAAGAGUCGCUGAGAAGGGAUUUAAUGAGCUCUCUGGGUUUGCUCACCUUCCUGAGCUGGUAGGAACCAGCUUGUUCUCAAGUGCGUCAGCAAAGAAUCUGCCUGUGGGUGGGCGGCCGGGGUAGGUGGACAGACUUGUUGCCAUGGUGUUCUUUAAUUCCCCUGUCUCUCAG